UAGAGUUUGAUCCUGGCUCAGGAUGAACGCUGGCGGCGUGCCUAAUACAUGCAAGUCGAGCGAACUGAUUAGAAGCUUGCUUCUAUGACGUUAGCGGCGGACGGGUGAGUAACACGUGGGCAACCUGCCUGUAAGACUGGGAUAACUUCGGGAAACCGAAGCUAAUACCGGAUAGGAUCUUCUCCUUCAUGGGAGAUGAUUGAAAGAUGGUUUCGGCUAUCACUUACAGAUGGGCCCGCGGUGCAUUAGCUAGUUGGUGAGGUAACGGCUCACCAAGGCAACGAUGCAUAGCCGACCUGAGAGGGUGAUCGGCCACACUGGGACUGAGACACGGCCCAGACUCCUACGGGAGGCAGCAGUAGGGAAUCUUCCGCAAUGGACGAAAGUCUGACGGAGCAACGCCGCGUGAGUGAUGAAGGCUUUCGGGUCGUAAAACUCUGUUGUUAGGGAAGACAAGUACAAGAGUAACUGCUUGUACCUUGACGGUACCUAACCAGAAA
rnacentral:rRNA from 1 species